rnacentral:rRNA from 1 species
CGCGUAGGCGGACCAUUAAGUCAGGGGUGAAAUCCCGGGGCUCAACCCCGGAACUGCCUUUGAUACUGGUGGUCUUGAGUUCGAGAGGGGUGAGUGGAAUUCCGAGUGUAGAGGUGAAAUUCGUAGAUAUUCGGAGGAACACCAGUGGCGAAGGCGGCUCACUGGCUCGAUACUGACGCUGAGGUGCGAAAGCGUGGGGAGCAAACA